rnacentral:lncRNA from 1 species
CCACAAAAUAUCGCUUUUUUCAUAUGAUUUUAACUUCUUCUGCCAUGUUGUGCUAUGUAUGUAUUUAUUUAAGAUUAGGAAUGAUAUAUUAUAUGAUUCAAUAGGAGAGAAGAAAGAUUUUUUAACCCAUGCGACUUGAGUCUCUCCAAAAAAAUCAGAAAUAAGUAAAAAAAAAAAUCGAUUAGCAGGGUUUAGGUCCCUGUUACUUUCAUUAACGGUCCAAAACUGAUGCGCAUAGCUUUUAUUUAUAAUGGUAAGAUCCAUUCUUUCAUGAUUUAGAUCGGAUUUCUCUCCUAGUCUAGAUAUAACUAACUUUCUAAUAAUAAACAUGACUAGUAAAAAUAAAUAUAAAAAGCUAAAGUCCUAUGAGAGGCAGCUUUCAACCUUUACAAUAAUUUUNNNNNNNNNNNNNCCACUAAAUUUUUUCUAGAUUGGAUGAUACAUCCGAUCAAAGACUUUCUCAAAAAAAAAAAAUCAAUUUGGCAUGCUUGUUUGGAGAUCAAAAUAAUAGAAUUUUGGUUUAUUUUAAUCUCCUAGAAGGUUGGUACUAUAUAGUAGACAUCAAAAAGUUAUCCAAUUUAGAAUAUAUAAAAAUUAUUUAAAUUAGAUAUCAUAUGAUUAAAUUACAACUUUCGAAAGUUUAGCGUGCAAUUUAGCUUCUGAUGUAGCAGAUCUUGCUUGGGGAUCCUAUCUAGCCUUACUUAUAAUAGUUAAAGUGGUCUAAAUCCAAUUUGGUAAUGUUCAUAGAUCCUUGUAUCAAUAAUGUUUUCUAUUUUUUUUU